rnacentral:rRNA from 1 species
GACGAACGCUGGCGGCGUGCUUAACACAUGCCAGUCGAACGGAAAGGCCCUGCUUGCAGGGUACUCGAGUGGCGAACGGGUGAGUAACACGUGGGUGAUCUGUCCUGCACUUCGGGAUAAGCCUGGGAAACUGGGUCUAAUACCGGAUAGGAGCCAUUUUUAGUGUGAUGGUUGGAAAGUUUUUUCGGUGUAGGAUGAGCUCGCGGCCUAUCAGCUUGUUGGUGGGGUAAUGGCCUACCAAGGCGGCGACGGGUAGCCGGCCUGAGAGGGUGGACGGCCACAGUGGGACUGAGAUACGGCCCAGACUCCUACGGGAGGCAGCAGUGGGGAAUAUUGCACAAUGGGCGCAAGCCUGAUGCAGCGACGCCGCGGGGGGGAGGACGGCCUUCGGGUUGUAAACUCCUUUCGCUAGGGACGAAGCUUUUUGUGACGGUACCUAGAUAAGAAGCACCGGCUAACUACGUG